AUUACUGUUUUGAUCUACCUGUAUUUAACCCUCUGAGGUUUAAGGGCAUUUUUGGAUAUCUUCUUGAUUUCUCCUUUUAAGGGUAUUUGCAUAAAACCUGAUCCCCAUGUUUUUCACAUCAGAAUAUU